rnacentral:rRNA from 1 species
GAUGAACGCUGGCGGCGUGCCUAAUACAUGCAAGUCGAGCGAACGGACGAGAAGCUUGCUUCUCUGAUGUUAGCGGCGGACGGGUGAGUAACACGUGGAUAACCUACCUAUAAGACUGGGAUAACUUCGGGAAACCGGAGCUAAUACCGGAUAAUAUUUUGAACCGCAUGGUUCAAAAGUGAAAGACGGUCUUGCUGUCACUUAUAGAUGGAUCCGCGCUGCAUUAGCUAGUUGGUAAGGUAACGGCUUACCAAGGCAACGAUGCAUAGCCGACCUGAGAGGGGGAUCGGCCACACUGGAGCUGGGACACGGUCCAGGCUCCUACGGGAGGCAGCAGUAUGGAAUCUUCCGCAAUGGGCGAAAGCCUGACGGAGCAACGCCGCGUGAGUGAUGAAGGUCUUCGGAUCGUAAAACUCUGUUAUUAGGGAAAAACAUAUGUGUAAGUAACUGUGCACAUCUUGACGGUACCUAAUCAGAAAGCCACGGCUAACUACGUG